rnacentral:rRNA from 1 species
UACAUAGGGAGCAAGCGUUAUCCGGAAUUAUUGGGUGUAAAGGGUGCGUAGAUGGGUGUUUAAGUUAGUUGUGAAAUCCCUCGGCUUAACUGAGGAACUGCAACUAAAACUGGACAUCUUGAGUGCGGGAGAGGAAAGUGGAAUUCCUAGUGUAGCGGUGAAAUGCGUAGAUAUUAGGAGGAACACCAGUGGCGAAGGCGACUUUCUGGACCGUAGCUGACAUUGAGGCACGAAAGUGUGGGGAGCAAAC